CAAGGUAGACGAGCAGUCGCUUUUUAAAAGAGGAAAGUCUGAGCACCAUCGGAUUAGGAUGCCGGCUAACUGCCGGGCAAGGUAACUUGACGGAAAGUGCAACAGAAAGUAAACCGCCAUUUGGUAAGGGUGAAACGGUGAGGUAAGAGCUCACCUCAAUUAAGGAAACUUAAUUGGAUUGGCAAACCCCAUUCGGUGCAAGGUUAAAUAGAGGAGCUUAUGCGAAUCCGACAAGCUUCUGGGUAAACCGCUUGAUUUAUUUGGUAACAAAUAAACUAGAUAAAUGGCUGCUGCCUUAUUAAAGGUACAGAACUCAGCUUAUAGUUUACCUUGAUCA
rnacentral:RNase_P_RNA from 1 species